GACGAACGCUGGCGGCGUGCUUAACACAUGCAAGUCGAACGGAAAGGCCCUGCUUUUGUGGGGUGCUCGAGUGGCGAACGGGUGAGUAACACGUGAGUAACCUGCCCUUGACUUUGGGAUAACUUCAGGAAACUGGGGCUAAUACCGGAUAGGAGCUCCUGCUGCAUGGUGGGGGUUGGAAAGUUUCGGCGGUUGGGGAUGGACUCGCGGCUUAUCAGCUUGUUGGUGGGGUAGUGGCUUACCAAGGCUUUGACGGGUAGCCGGCCUGAGAGGGUGACCGGCGACAUUGGGACUGAGAUACGGCCCAGACUCCUACGGGAGGCAGCAGUGGGGAAUAUUGCACAAUGGGCGGAAGCCUGAUGCAGCAACGCCGCGUGCGGGAUGACGGCCUUCGGGUUGUAAACCGCUUUCGCAUGUGACGAAGCGUGAGUGACGGUAAUGGGUAAAGAAGCACCGGCUAACUACGUG
rnacentral:rRNA from 1 species